rnacentral:lncRNA from 10 species
CUGUUCCUGAAUGGGAGAGACAAAAGGACAGGUGAAUGGGAAAGAGGCUUCAUCCAGGAGUCUUGGGGGGUGAUGUAUAGAUACUCCCUGCUUCUAUGCUGGUGGCCCGUGGAAGGAUAAAUCAUUCUUCCUUUCUCCAUGCUUAGAACUGCCAACAUUUGGGGUGCAGGUAGAGAAAAUUAAGAGAUCAAAAUAUCCUAAUUCUAGAGGUUUGAAGGGAUUUCUUUACAAGACACUGGAACAGCAUCCAAGACCGUAUAUGAGAAAUGUUGACUGCCUUUUGAAGUAAAAGAAAGUCUGAAUAUACAAUUAUUUGGAAAAAUAUAUCUGCCUUAUACCCCAUCUGAAAAAGUUCUUGGGAAAAUACUUGAAACCAAAUAGCAAAUACAACCUAAUAGAGAGCUCAAGGUGGGCCAUAAAUAAAUAUUCUGUAAAUGCAAACAAAAACGAAAGCUAGGAUGUCAAGCUGAGAGAUUGUUAACUUUAAAACUAAAAGCACAAAGCAAUAAAGAAGAGAGUCUGUUGUUUAUAUGUACUAAAUUUUACAGGCCUAAAUAAUAAAGCAUGAACUAAACUAUUAAUAUUAUAUCUUUAGUGAGAUAGUUUAAUCUGUCUUUUUGAGAAUUGGAUCAAUUUAAAAGAUAAACAAGUAUUUCAUAAAAAUUCAAGUAUAAAAUAAAUGUGAUUAAAAAUUAAAUAAUAAAAUAAGUAAAUGAGAAUGUGAAGUAAUUGAUAUUCAUAGAAUCUUAUAUUCCUUGAGCAGACAAUAUUUUUAUUCACAUGUUUAUGGUGAUAGAAUAUUUAUAAAAUUAAUCAUUUUCUUGGUCAAAAGAUGAAUACAUCUAGACACUUAACGCAAAGUUUGACGACUAUUAUUGAUAUUAUUAUAUUGUAUGUGAAACCUUGCUAAAAGAAUAGAUUCUAGGUGCUCUUGAAGGGAAGAACAUGGUCCCUUUAAAUGAUGGGGAAGCGGGGAAGGGAAGUGCGGAGUAGAGGAGGGCGUGGUCCCUGGCUAGGGCUCCACCCCCACGGACAUAGGUGAGGUCAGGCACUCCUCACUUCAUGAACAAAUGUUGCAUUUCCCAACACCACCCUGGCCUGCCGCGCCCCCAUCCUGUGCCUAUAAAACCCCGGGACACCUUAGUAAGUAGACAUACAAGCGGCUGGACGUCGUGAAGAACACUUGGGUGGAAGAAGACACAGAGGCAGCUGGGCGGAAGAAGACACAGAGGCAGCUGGGCGGAAGAAGACACAGAGGCAGCUGGGCGGAAGAAGACACAGAGGCAGCUGGGCGGAAGAAGACACAGAGGCAGCUGGGCGGAAGAAGACACAGAGGCAGCUGGACAUCAAGAGGAACACACUGGCAGGCGCUGGCACAUUGGCAGGCCACCUACCGGCAAAACGACGUGGAGUUUGGCCAGGGCAGUCAAGAGGAGAGCCCAGGUCGCUGAGCAGCCCGACUGCAAGGGAAAAACCAUUUUCCUUCUGGCUCCCCCAUCCGCUGAGAGCUACUUCCUCUCAAUGAAACCCUGCACUCAUUCUCCAAGCCCAGGUGUGAUCCGAUCCUUCUGGUACACCAAGAUAAGAACCCGGGAUACAGAAAGUCCUCUGUCUUUGCAACAAGAUAGAGGGUCUAAUUGAGCUGGUUAACACCAGCCUGUAGGUAGCAAAACUAAAAGAGCACCCUGUAACACACGCCCGCUGGGGCUUCAGGAGCUGUAAACAUCCACACCUAGACACUGCCCUGGGCUCGGAGCCCCACAGCCUGCCCCAUCUGUAUGCUCCCCUAGAAGUCUGAGCAGCGGGGGCCUGAAGAAGCGAGUCACACCUCCGGGCACACGCCCUGCAAAGGGCACAAGGGAACCUUUCUCGUUUCACUCUCACUACGUAGACACACACGCAAGAAAUGCAGAAAUAGAACAAAAAACAGAAGUCUCUACCACCCUUCAUGGAGCUUCCACUCUAGUGUGAAGAGAGAGACAAGAAACAAACUAAGAAGAAAACACAUACCUAAUAUGUUAAGUGGUGAUAAGUGAAAUGGAUGAAAGCUGAAAUAAAGAAUGUAGGCAGAGGCCAGGCACGGUGGCUCACGCCUGUAAUCCCAGCACUUUGGGAGGCCGAGGCGGGCAGAUCACCUGAGUUCAGGAGUUUGAGAUCAGCCUGGCCAACAUGCUGAAACCCCAUCUCUAUUAAAAAUACAAAAAAUUAGCCAGGAGUGGUGGCAGGCGCCUGUAAUCUCAGCUUCUGAGGAGGCUGAGGUAGGAGAAUUGCUUGAACUUGGGAGGCAGAGGUUGCAGUGAGCCGAGAUCUCACCAUUGCACUCCAGCCUGGGCGACAGAGCGAGAAACUGUCUCAAGAAAAAACAAAACAAAAAUGUAGGUAGAUAGUGUGUUAGGGAAUUGAGAUCACUCAGGUGAUGACUGAAAACUUGAAACAGAUGAGAAAGCAUUGGCUAUGUGGAAAUGCGGGGCUGGGGGCAUGGUGGGGAGACCAUUCCAGGCAGAGGGAGAAGACACAGCUGACUCCACAGGAGAAAGACCAUGUGCUGGAUCAAAACAAACCCAGGAGAAAGCACAGAAGAGCUCAACAGAGAGGCCAGGGUACCAGACCAUGCAGGACACCUGGGCAGUAGUGAGCCUGCCUUUUAGGAAGCCAGAGUGGCCAUUCCUUGGCCUCCCAUUCAACAGAUUACUCUUGCUGCUGUAUUGGAGGGGGAAAAAUCAGGAUAAUUUUGCAAUUAUCCAGACAAGGAUCCUGGCACCUUGGGUUAAGGUGGUGAUGGUAAAGAUGGUGAGAAAUGAUGUGAUAUAUUUUUAAGACAAAAUCAAGAGGAUAUUUUAAUGGAUGAAUUUGUGAUGUGAGGAGAAGAAAUGGUAAGAAAGACUUCAAGAACUGGAGCUUGAGAAGAAAUCUACAUAAAGAAGAAUCAUAAAGAGAGACUGGAAGACUGAUGGAUGAACAAGUAUGGGUAAACAUGGGGAGAGAUCAGAAACUGAUUUGAAGACAUCAAGAUUGUCAUGCCUACUAGACAUCCAAAUGGCAUCAAAUAGAGCAUUAGAUGUAUGGGACUUGAGUUGAUGGGGAGAGGUCUUGUCUGGAAAUAAACAUUUGGGAGUCUCUAGUAUAGAGUUAUUGCUUAAAACUGUAAAAUUACAUGAGAUCUCUAAGGGAGUUUGAAUAGAAAAGGAAGAUGCCCAAGGAGAAAUUCCAAAAUUAAGGAUUGUUUUAGUGCAACUCUAGAGGCCAGAAACCUAUUCAGCAGGAGCUCAAUAGAGAAUGGGGCCGGGCACGGUGGAGCACACCUGUAAUCCCAGCACUUUAGGAGGCUGAGCCAGGUGGAUCACUUGAGGUCAGGAGUUCCAGACCAGCCUGGUCAACAUGGUGAAACCCUGUCUUUGCUAAAAAUACAAAAAAUUAGCCAGGCUUGGUGGUGCAUGCCUGUAAUCCCAGCUACUCAGCAGGUUGAGGCAGAAUAAUUGCUUGAACCCAGGAGGUGGAGGUUGCAAUAAGCCGAGAUUGGGCCACUGCACUCCAGCCUGGGCAACAGAGCGAGACUGUGUCUCAAAAAAAAAAGAGAGAAUGGGAAGGCAGGAAAUGGAGAAAGUAAACGCUGACAGCUUGGAGGGUUUCUUCUGUAAGAAAGGGAGGAAAAUGGGGCAGAAAAGUAAGAUAAAGAGGGGGUUUUAUUUUUCAGCCCUUGGAGAGAAACAGCAGCACGUUUGUAUAUCCAUGGGGAAGAUUGAUUACUCAGGGCAAGAGAAAGGCAUGCUGAGAGCACUGUCCCUGAGCAAGUGGGAGGAGGGGUACGCACAGGUCACAGGGGAGGCAACCUUGCUGACAGUGGCUGGAGAGGGUGGAGAGGAGCACAGGUGAUCAGCCUGCAGUUUCUUCAGAUGCGGAACAGAAGGUGACAUCAUCGACCAAGGGUAGGGAUGUGGAAAAGCGUAGGAAGUUUCUGGGAAGAGGAGUGGGA